rnacentral:rRNA from 1 species
UACGGAGGGUGCAAGCGUUAUCCGGAUUCACUGGGUUUAAAGGGUGCGUAGGUGGGUUGGUAAGUCAGUGGUGAAAUCUCCGGGCUUAACUCGGAAACUGCCGUUGAUACUAUCAAUCUUGAAUAUCGCGUAGGUAAGCGGAAUAUGUCAUGUAGCGGUGAAAUGCUUAGAUAUGACAUAGAACACCAAUUGCGAAGGCAGCUUACUUCACGAUCAUUGACACUGAGGCACGAAAGCGUGGGGAGCAAACAGG